UAACGUAACAUUUUUCAUAGCCAAGGAUUGUCCAUCUUAGCUGAGUGCAAGACAUUACUGAUAACAGAUAAGCUUCUACUAUGAGAACCCUUACUUUAUUGAGAAAUGUCUACAGACCUCUCGUAUUGAGGU